rnacentral:tRNA from 1 species
GCCACGCUUGGCGUGGGUGUUUCAAUCGGGGCUUUUUCUUGCAUUGCCGCCGGUGCAGUCAUCGGCGACGGCGUGCAAAUUGCCGAGCAUUGCG